GCCCUUUUUAUGUUGUACUACUAGUGAUCAUACACAAAAAGCAGUGCAAUGUUAAAAGGGCAU
rnacentral:pre_miRNA from 1 species